rnacentral:tRNA from 1 species
CCCUGGUUAGAGCGCUCCACUUGUAAUGGAGAGGUCCCGGGUUCGAUACCCGGACCAGGCG